AGGAAGAGUCUUUGACUGUCCGGGAGGCGUUGAGGAUCAAGGGGAUUCUCGAUAACUACGAACAAGAGGUUAUUUUUAAUUACACUUUAUGUUCUUGAGAAUGCCCAGGAGUAUUUGGAAACUAAGAUGCUCUGUUGGUUGAUCAAAUGAAAAUCUGUCCAACAUUUUUAUAGCUUUUACAGAUUCUUGCAAGUGCUUUUGUGCUAAUAUAUUUGUUGCCAGUUUAAUUUGCAUGA